rnacentral:rRNA from 1 species
AUUGAACGCUGGCGGCAGGCCUAACACAUGCAAGUCGAGCGGAUGAAGGGGGCUUGCUCCUGGAUUCAGCGGCGGACGGGUGAGUAAUGCCUAGGAAUCUGCCUGGUAGUGGGGGAUAACGUCCGGAAACGGGCGCUAAUACCGCAUACGUCCUGAGGGAGAAAGUGGGGGAUCUUCGGACCUCACGCUAUCAGAUGAGCCUAGGUCGGAUUAGCUAGUUGGUGGGGUAAAGGCCUACCAAGGCGACGAUCCGUAACUGGUCUGAGAGGAUGAUCAGUCACACUGGAACUGAGACACGGUCCAGACUCCUACGGGAGGCAGCAGUGGGGAAUAUUGGACAAUGGACGAAAGCCUGAUCCAGCCAUGCCGCGUGUGUGAAGAAGGUCUUCGGAUUGUAAAGCACUUUAAGUUGGGAGGAAGGGCAGUAAGUUAAUACCUUGCUGUUUUGACGUUACCAACAGAAUAAGCACCGGCUAACUUCGUG